rnacentral:lncRNA from 1 species
UCAUGUAUUAUUUGUAAUUUGUCCCUUAUGAUGGUUCAAUUAUUGUUGCCUUUUCAUGAGUUGACUGAAGACUUUUUUUCUAGAAUUUUUGGUGUGAUAUCUCCUCUUCUCCAACUAAUGAUGGUCCACUCCAAAAAUCUACUGAAACAGAUUCAGUGGCACAUCAUUGGGAUAAGAAAUAGCAGUAAUUCAUCCAAUAGGCCGUUGCAACCAAAAAUUGCUAUCAUUUCUGCAAUCACUGUGCUGGUUUCAAAGGGAGAGAGAAGG